GUACCCCUGUGCCUGUCCUGAGCGCGAGCCCUGCUGCGUCCCGCUGGCGUUCCUUCGGCUUGUGUUGAGCUCCCGGCCGGGAACGCCAGUCCAGCGUGGAGUGCGUGACCCCUGGUGUCCGGAGGGCUUUCCGGAUCUUCGGCGUCACCGCAGCGCUGCCUCGAUGGCACCGCCACGGCCCGCCUGGGCUCCAGGCCGAUUUUCGAGACCGGAGGCCUAGGCUUGGCCGGAGCGGCCCGGUGCGUCCCCGCAGCGCCUGCACCCUACGGCCUGGCACGUGCUGGCCUUCGUGUCCUGUUGAAGCCAAGCCACUUGGUGCGACGUCGUCUUCAGACUGUGAUAGGGAGGCUCAGAGGAAGCUUCUGUCCCAGCCUACCUGGUUGCAGCCUUGCAAGGGCUCAGCUGGGACUGAAAACUGGGGAGUUGGUGCAUGGACUCCAGGCAGAGGGAUGUGGUGCUGUGCCCUGCAGCGGUGGGUGCUGAGAGUACAAGAACGAGCAGAGCAAAGCCAGGCACGAUUCCUGACCUCCAGCAACUUCCAUUCUGACCGAAGACUGUCAUUACAGAACUAACUGCAUGAAUACAACAGAAUCAAUUACUUGCAAUUUGAAAAAGGUGUCGAAGAUUGGAAAAAUUAAGCAGAAUUUGUGACCAUGAACGCUUUGUUUCAGUG